UGCCAGCCGCCGCGGUAAUAAGUAGGGCGCCAGCGUUACUCGGAAUCACUGGGCGUAAAGAGCGUGUAGGCGGGUUAAUAAGUUUGAAGUGAAAUCCAAUGGCUCAACCAUUGAACUGCUUUGAAAACUGUUAACCUAGAAUAUGGGAGAGGUAGAUGUAAUUUCUGGUGUAGGGGUAAAAUCCGUAGAGAUCAGAAGGAAUACCGAUUGCGAAGGCGAUCUACUUGAACAUUAUUGACGCUGAGACGCGCAAGCGUGGGGAGCAAACAGGAUAAGAUA
rnacentral:rRNA from 1 species